rnacentral:rRNA from 1 species
UGUAUAAUGGGUCAGCGACUUAUAUUCUGUAGCAAGGUUAACCGAAUAGGGGAGCCGAAGGGAAACCGAGUCUUAACUGGGCGUUAAGUUGCAGGGUAUAGACCCGAAACCCGGUGAUCUAGCCAUGGGCAGGUUGAAGGUUGGGUAACACUAACUGGAGGACCGAACCGACUAAUGUUGAAAAAUUAGCGGAUGACUUGUGGCUGGGGGUGAAAGGCCAAUCAAACCGGGAGAUAGCUGGUUCUCCCCGAAAGCUAUUUAGGUAGCGCCUCGUGAAUUCAUCUCCGGGGGUAGAGCACUGUUUCGGCAAGGGGGUCAUCCCGACUUACCAACCCGAUGCAAACUGCGAAUACCGGAGAAUGUUAUCACGGGAGACACACGGCGGGUGCUAACGUCCGUCGUGAAGAGGGAAACAACCCAGACCGCCAGCUAAGGUCCCAAAGUCAUGGUUAAGUGGGAAACGAUGUGGGAAGGCCCAGACAGCCAGGAUGUUGGCUUAGAAGCAGCCAUCAUUUAAAGAAAGCGUAAUAGCUCACUGGUCGAGUCGGCCUGCGCGGAAGAUGUAACGGGGCUAAACCAUGCACCGAAGCUGCGGCAGCGACACUAUGUGUUGUUGGGUAGGGGAGCGUUCUGUAAGCCUGUGAAGGUGUGCUGUGAGGCAUGCUGGAGGUAUCAGAAGUGCGAAUGCUGACAUAAGUAACGAUAAAGCGGGUGAAAAGCCCGCUCGCCGGAAGACCAAGGGUUCCUGUCCAACGUUAAUCGGGGCAGGGUGAGUCGACCCCUAAGGCGAGGCCGAAAGGCGUAGUCGAUGGGAAACAGGUUAAUAUUCCUGUACUUGGUGUUACUGCGAAGGGGGGACGGAGAAGGCUAUGUUGGCCGGGCGACGGUUGUCCCGGUUUAAGCGUGUAGGCUGGUUUUCCAGGCAAAUCCGGAAAAUCAAGGCUGAGGCGUGAUGACGAGGCACUACGGUGCUGAAGCAACAAAUGCCCUGCUUCCAGGAAAAGCCUCUAAGCAUCAGGUAACAUCAAAUCGUACCCCAAACCGACACAGGUGGUCAGGUAGAGAAUACCAAGGCGCUUGAGAGAACUCGGGUGAAGGAACUAGGCAAAAUGGUGCCGUAACUUCGGGAGAAGGCACGCUGAUAUGUAGGUGAAGUCCCUUGCGGAUGGAGCUGAAAUCAGUCGAAGAUACCAGCUGGCUGCAACUGUUUAUUAAAAACACAGCACUGUGCAAACACGAAAGUGGACGUAUACGGUGUGACGCCUGCCCGGUGCCGGAAGGUUAAUUGAUGGGGUUAGCGGUAACGCGAAGCUCUUGAUCGAAGCCCCGGUAAACGGCGGCCGUAACUAUAACGGUCCUAAGGUAGCGAAAUUCCUUGUCGGGUAAGUUCCGACCUGCACGAAUGGCGUAAUGAUGGCCAGGCUGUCUCCACCCGAGACUCAGUGAAAUUGAACUCGCUGUGAAGAUGCAGUGUACCCGCGGCAAGACGGAAAGACCCCGUGAACCUUUACUAUAGCUUGACACUGAACAUUGAGCCUUGAUGUGUAGGAUAGGUGGGAGGCUUUGAAGUGUGGACGCCAGUCUGCAUGGAGCCGACCUUGAAAUACCACCCUUUAAUGUUUGAUGUUCUAACGUUGACCCGUAAUCCGGGUUGCGGACAGUGUCUGGUGGGUAGUUUGACUGGGGCGGUCUCCUCCUAAAGAGUAACGGAGGAGCACGAAGGUUGGCUAAUCCUGGUCGGACAUCAGGAGGUUAGUGCAAUGGCAUAAGCCAGCUUGACUGCGAGCGUGACGGCGCGAGCAGGUGCGAAAGCAGGUCAUAGUGAUCCGGUGGUUCUGAAUGGAAGGGCCAUCGCUCAACGGAUAAAAGGUACUCCGGGGAUAACAGGCUGAUACCGCCCAAGAGUUCAUAUCGACGGCGGUGUUUGGCACCUCGAUGUCGGCUCAUCACAUCCUGGGGCUGAAGUAGGUCCCAAGGGUAUGGCUGUUCGCCAUUUAAAGUGGUACGCGAGCUGGGUUUAGAACGUCGUGAGACAGUUCGGUCCCUAUCUGCCGUGGGCGCUGGAGAACUGAGGGGGGCUGCUCCUAGUACGAGAGGACCGGAGUGGACGCAUCACUGGUGUUCGGGUUGUCAUGCCAAUGGCACUGCCCGGUAGCUAAAUGCGGAAGAGAUAAGUGCUGAAAGCAUCUAAGCACGAAACUUGCCCCGAGAUGAGUUCUCCCUGACCCUUUAAGGGUCCUGAAGGAACGUUGAAGACGACGACGUUGAUAGGCCGGGUGUGUAAGCGCAGCGAUGCGUUGAGCUAACCGGUACUAAUGAACCGUGAGGCUUAACCUU